CCUGCCCCUAGAAGCGUUGCAGGUGUGGCAUCUGUGUCACAUGUGUGUGUCAGUAGGUGGCAGACAGGAGAGAUGCUAUGUCUUCGUUCUGUGUUCUGAUGUAUGAACAUCUAAAUGAUUAGUAACCUAACAUU